UUUUGCAUUGUUUUGCUAGAUUUGCAAAAAAAAAAAAUCGUGCAUAUUGAACAUAUUUUGCCAUAACGCCAUUUGUGAAUGGCCCACGAGCUAAGCCUGCUUGGACGAGCUGUCAAAUGAUUUGUUGUUGUUGUGUUGUCGUGCGCGUUUUGAUUCGUUUCGGUCGCUGCGUCGUCGGUCUGCCGUCGCAUUUCCGGCAAUAACUUAUUUCACCCGAACCAUAAAGUGUCCGCAGGUUUGAGUUUGCUAAAGCAGUGAAAAAUUUGACAGUUAUAACUAGUAGAGAGAAAACGGACUUCGACGCGCCGCUGGAGAAACAACAAAUUUGUAAAAUCUGCUGCUUGAGAACGAAUUUCUCGGCAUCUGUUGUGGUCUAGUGUCGUGGACUGCAUGGAAUCGGUUGAAUCGCGCGGAAAGUGAGUGAGUUGUUUUGUUCUAAGCGGAAAAUCGGCGGAAAUGGAGACUAAUUCGUGCAGAGUAAACAUUGGCCUUGACCCAGCAGUAACAACAACACCAGACCUUCCGGCUGGAAGUUGAUGUGCUGCUGCGAGAUCAAGUUUGCUGACGCUUCGAGAGCAAAUAUCAUCGGACAAGCAAAACAGGAACCAACUCCUUCGAAGGCCACUUUCCCCGAACUGACAACAGGGGGCCGAGCUGUUGAUGGGUUAGCAUUUCACCCUCGACUUGAUGGCGUACACUACGAACGUCGACUGAAAUCGGCGGUAAAGCUACGUCAACGGGUUUUCGAUAGAGUUUCAAAAACACUCGCUGACGUGUUAAACGAAACUUCUAAUGCUCCAUAUUCACCUCGCCAAGAGCCUAAAGGUCUAGGACACGGUCCACCAACAUGACAAUCAUCUUCAAAAGAAAAAGCAGCAGUAAAAUUGGCAGGUUUGUAAUACUAUCAAGAAAUACUACUUUUAGCCGGUACGGAAAACGAGGUUAAAAUUUAGGGCAACACUUCAAAAAGAAGUAUGUAAUCUAAGAAGUGAAUAAACAGCUCUAAAGAGGUCAAGAACAAGUUCGCACGCCAGCAACAAAUUCACUACACCCAUUUUCCGUCCUUUUCAAACGUUACCUUUGAAAUGUAGCUUAACGAACCUAAUUAGUAAUAAUGUUUUAAAAGCAAGUUUUGUAAAUCCGGAUUUUAAACAUUGAAGCGUUUAAACGGAAGUGAAACAAUAAAAAGGAAUCAAAAUAGCCAUCAAAAUUUUAACUUUUAAAACCGAAGUCAAAAAACAAAAUAAAUUAGGAUACUUUUUGCUAUAUUUUUUUUAAUUUAAAACUAUUCCUCACUAUUUUCUCAAAAUAUUUAAUAUACAGUAUGUAAAAAAAGUAUUUACACCCCUUGGGCACUAUGCACAUUUUGUGAUGAAACAUGUAAAAAAUUUAAAGUUUGACAGGAACCUAGUACUACGUUUUGUUCAGAAACUCAUGCCAAACAUUUUGCUACAAAAAGCUCAUGAAAAGAUGAUUUCUAUAAAAAGUUAUAUAACAAAUACUAUUACGAAAAUAAAAAAGGUGCAAAAAAAGUAUGUACACCUUUCGAAAAAUUAACAUAAAUAAUGUUAUUUGUUGACAAAUCACCAUAAAUCCAGUCUCCCAACUCCAAAUAGGCAUCCUUGACUGAUUAAAAAAAUAAUUUGGAUUGAAUAUAAAGUUUACUAACUACUUAGUAUAAAAGUUUAUAUAACUCUGGAAAUUCUAUAUAAAACUUAUCUAAACUUAAUUUUGCAAACUUUUAAUUCAAAUAAAUGUCAAUAUAUUACCAUAGAAUUGCUAAAUAAACAUUUUGGAGUGGGUAUAACACCGUUUUGGGGGUAUUUGUAUCGAUAGAAUAGAUUUUUCGUUGGAAUUUCGUACCAACCCGGAAUUACGUCGUCGGAAAAUCCGCCGGCAUCUGAACCGGUCCUCAAUUCACAAGUCAACCUAUGUGGCAUCAGAAAGGGCAUAAAAUUUCCGAUCUUUUGAUACCCAUACAUCCAGGUUUUCUAUAAAACCCACGUUUUUAAAUACCUAAGCAAAAACGUUGUUAUGGUUUCGUUUGAGCAACCUGCCAAAAAUGUAUGGAAUUUCGUAAUUUUUGUUCUCGUGGAUCAAACUUACUUUUUGCCCAGUUAUUUAAAAACGUAGGUUUUAAAGAAAACCUAGAUGUAUGGGUAUCAAAAGAUCGGAAAUUUUAUGCCCUUUCCGAUUCCACAUAGGUUGACUUGUGAAUCGUGGACCGGUUCGGAUGCCGGCGGAUUUUCCUACGACAUAAUUCCGGGUUGGUACGAAAUUCCAACGAAAAAUCUAUUCUAUCGAUACAAAUACCCCCAAAACGGUGUUAUACCCACUCCAAAAUGUUUAUUUAGCAAUUCUAUGGUAAUAUAUUGACAUUUAUUUGAAUUAAAAGUUUGCAAAAUUAAGUUUAGAUAAGUUUCUGUUAUUAUGACUCUUAUAUGACUCAUAUUUGUGACAGCCUGAGUUACAAUGUUAAGCUUCAUAUAUUUUUUUUUUCUGUAACGAAUUUCUGCUCGGAUAAGUGAUAAAAUAAUAACACUUUUUGUUAUGCAAUCAAUCCAUAUGAAUAACUGUUUUUGUUAUUUGGGUGCUCCCCAUCCAUUGCUCAGAAUAACUAACCUUGUUAUUCUAUUGUUCUGGAUUCUAUGUUAUUAGUAUGUUAUUGCAAUAACAGGGCAAUAACGAUUUGAGUUAUUUUUCGAACAAAUCUUUGUUAUUGAAAUUUGUUAUUUUAACAACUAAUCCGAUCAUCCCAAUAACGGAUUUUGAUCUUCUCACAAUAUCAAAAACUGACCUUCCCAAGUUAUUUCCGUCUGCUCGGGUCCGUAUUAAACUGGUGCGCGUUCGAACAAAACCGUCGAAAUUUUUUAUAUAUAUAUAGAAGAUAAUAUAUUUUUUUAAACACACGCAGGAGAAUUUAAUAUUAAGGUCAUACAUUUGUAAAAAUAUCCCUAAAAAACAAUUUAUUUUAUAUCAAGGUUAUCAUUCGGGACAAUUUAAUUUUUGGGAUUUUCGGGAAAAUGAUUUUCGGGGAUGUGGAAUUUUCGGGAAAAUGAUUUUCGGGGAAGUGGCACUUUCGGGGAAAUGAUUUUCGGGGAUGUGGAAUUUUCGGAGAAAUGAUUUUCGGGGAUAUGGAAUUCGGGAAAGUGGGAUUCGGGGAUAAGGGAUAAAACCAACAGGUGCAUUGCCAGGCAAGCUAGCACAGACAUGAGUUUAAAAAUUAAUUAUUUCUAUGUAGCCCCGGAUAUUGCUAUUUUCGAAGGCUAAUAACUUUUUAGCAAACAAAAAACAAAAAAUAAGGUGUCUUCGGAAAAGUUUUUCCAAGUUUAAAGAAGAUAUUAGUUAUGAGAAUUGGUAUGAACUGGGUAGAUAUUGCGCCUUCCACAGGUCAAAAACUGAAACAGUUGCUUUUAUCCAUACAUUUCGACGGUUUUUUCCAAACUUGGUGGUCAGUCGUCAGAAAAGCUAAAAAUUGGAACUUAGGCUAGUGAUGGGUCAAUCUUUGAUUUUAGGGGGUAGCCUCAAGUAAGCCCAGAUUUGGACCACCCUAACCAAUGUAAUGCUAAAACUACGAGAUAAAUGAAAUGUUACUGAAUGGAACGAUGUUCAAAUCUGCAGGUCAAUUUUUUAAUAUUGGAUCCAUAAUCUACGAAAACUGAGCUCGGCAAUGGACAGGCAAAUUACUUAGUUUGAUCAAUCUUUUCUUGAUUCUCUAUCUUACAAAUUAUUUAUGUGUAGAGAACACACAAUCAUUGUAUUGAGAUUAUUUUUAAGGUAGCACACACAAUCAUAGUUUUGAGAUUUUUUUAAGGUAGUACAAUUUAAAAAAAAUGGGAAAAAUUUCGGGGCGGGGGGGGGGGCUGUAGCCCGGUAGCCCCCCCCCCUGGCUACGGGCCUGGUCCUGCUGAAUGACGAGAACUUCCCGCCGUUGAAGUGGCAGCUCGGACGCGUUUCCGAUAUCCACCCGGGAGCUGACGACAAUAUCCGUAUCGUCACGGUGCGCACAAAGGACGGCAGCUAUCAGCGAGCGAUCUCCAAGAUCUUCAUUCUGCCGAUCCGUGACAAUCUUUCUACCGCGCUAGGGGAGAACUAGGCGGAGGUCGAAAGGCCUCCGCACACCAGUUAAGUUAUGUGAUGUUUUGAAUUUCAAAAAGUUCACCGAAUCUUUUUACUCCAGAGUCGCCACCCUGUCUGCGCACAGACCUGCGGGUCAUUCAACGCCGGAGGCCGUUAAAAAGAUCGGAACUUUCCGAAAUGCUCUGAGGUAACCUGUUUUGUUUCGGUGGUGGUUUUGCAUGAAGGAUGUUUGCGUGCGUUUUCGCAGGACAAUUUCCAACACAGCACGGUUACGGAUAACAGCGGCGCAUAGCGCCAUUUCAGUCGAAAAGACUACUCCCAGUUCUGAACUCAGCUAAUUCUGUUCCACGUUUGGAACUCUUCGAGGUACACACGCACACGAUGACAACAACGGAUGAGACGUCCUCCCGGUCCCAUCUGCCACGACCAGCAGUGAGCUUGGCCAGCUCGUUCCCAAUCGCAGCCCGAUGGAGCCAACCCCCGUCAUCGCAGCAUAUGUACACCCGGAGAACCGUCGCAUCGGUAACUGCUGAGGGUCAACAGCGACGCCAGGAGGCUUCGGGGGAGGCCACGGAGGUCUCCCCUAGUUCAUGCAAGUCGUUUUAGAAUAUAUUUUUUUCCGAUUAAAAAGCAUCUUCUCAUCUGAUCAGGGAGUCUCGCAUCGCAUCGACGCCGACGCCGGCGUCACCGGUAGCAUCAGACAGCAGAGCAGCAGAUCACGCACGGCGCCACCCACGCACGAUGGCUUUGCGUUCAGCACAGACCAGCACACCCGAGCAGUGGUAAAUAACACGGGAAUACCAAAUUUUGGUAUUACUUGGCAUCCCGAGCAGGGGUAAAUAACACGGGAAUACCAUAUUUUGGUAUUACUUGGCAUAAUAACAAAUACCAAAAUGUGCCCUUGGUUGCCCAGUAAUAGAUGGUAUAAUACCAUGAACAUACCAAAAAACUGUAUGGGUAAGACAAAAGCAAUACCAAAACGUGCCAUUCCAAGGACAAAUGAAUACCAAAUAAUAACAACUUUCCGGGUAAAUAAAAAUCUCAUUGGACAAAAAACAAUGAGAAUUAUCUAUAGGAUUACAGCGAGAAUUCAAUUUGACUAAUGGGAUUGCAAUGAGAAAUGGGUAGAAUUUUGAUGCUAUAUUUAAAUUCUUCGAACAGGCAGGAAAACGAAGUCUUGCUUGGAGAGCCAAAAAAUAUCAGGUAAAGAAAACUAGAGGAAUACUGGAAUCGAACUCAUGACAGGUAAGGUGCAGACACCAUUUUAGCUACCCGUUUACCAACUGAGCUAUCAACGCUUGUUGAAUACGAGCUGCUGCUGCAUCACCAUGUUUAGCUGCAGGCAAAAAUAUCAGGAAAUUCAAAGAAAGAGAAACAAACUAAACCAGAACGAGAAAGGCUAUACCCAAGUAACCAUCCAGCAUUAAUAUAAAUAAUAAAUUAGCUGUUCAUCAGCAUUCACCAGCUAGUUAGUCAUAAAACAGCUAAGAUCAGAACAAAUCAGCUCUACAAAAAUUGCUUUAGGCUUUGCUGAAAUGCAGCUGAAUUAAUGCUACUCCUAGCAACACUGCUGGAUUUUUUUCCCAUUAACUGGCAACACAGUAGAGGUGUGAAAGAGAGAGAAAGAAGCAAACGAAAAUAAACACAUUUCUUACUCGCUCAUCCCUUCAACUAGAACAACCAUCACAAACCUGCGGAGAAAAUUUACGCUGUCAGUUGGUGGCUGAGAUUCACCGUGAUUUCAUGCUUUAGCAGGUGCUGUAGAUUUUUUCAGUCCUUAUCGAAAUUUUUCGUAAGAGCUAAAUAAACAAAAUGAGGACUAAUGUUGCGAUUAUUAUGGAAGAGAAUCGCUUCUUUUGAAAAAUGUAGGUUGGCCUAAAGGUUGACAUUUUCGGGCCUCUUCGGUGCCUAAAGAAUCUUCAGAAUUCGCCGUGGGUACAGGGGUACUGGUCAUAAAGGAGGAACCUGCCCCAGCAGAGUCUGACGGAGGUUAUUUUAGGUAUCAUGCAAAGUACAAGCAUUGGUAGGUUUAAAAACAGCUAAGCCAACUCCAUAUUGGGCGAACACACAAAGAAAAAUUACUCUAAAUUUAAAAAGAUCGUUCGUUGGAUUAAAAGUUCGCGUUGGUGAAUAUUCGUAGAAAGUUCAAACUUUUCAAUUUAAAAGUUGGAAAGUUUUUGAUACUACUAUGCAUUUAUGGAACAAAAUCGUUGUAUUGGUAAAAGUAUUUUACUUUUAAUUGGAAAAGAAAUCUUUGAUGGCAAGAAUAUACAACAUUUAGCACUACAGGGAUAAUUUCAGAAAAACGUGCUUGGUUUUUUUUACAUUUAUUUAAAAAAGAUUAAACUGUUUGUUAAAAAAAAACAUUUUUCAUUGUAUUUAACGCUUCUCCACUAGCUUCAGCUCUAGGUAGGCCAAUAUUCGAGUCCAAGCUGUACCGAUUCAUACGGUACGCCACCGGUCACUUCUGAAUACCCCAGGACGGUUCCGGAUGGAGGUUUCGACGCGCGACAGCAAAGUAGAGAACAGGAUGGUCACGUUUCCGGCCUCAAUCAGGAUAGUCUUGGAGGAGUUGGCCGUUGAUUCGGGAAGGGUGGUCGACGUUUUCCGGCUGGAAAGUAAAGUGCCUGAACGGGGAGUUCCCGAUCCUGGAAGUGCAUCCGGAACAUGGAGUUGAUGAAGCCCUCGGAACGGAAUUCGAUUUUGAGCACGUAAUCCUACUUCGGGAAUGACACAGAUUUUUUUUUUGGCUCACUGUCCAGGUUCAUUCGGCUGAAGCUGCGCCGUCGCGAGGUGAGUGUUUGUGGGCGGGAAGUUGCUAAAAGAGAUGGAAAGUAAGUGAAGUUGGCUAGCCACUGCACACAUUCUCAAUAAUCACCGGUGUUUUAAACCGCCGGCAACAUCUGUGCGGACCACCUUCGAUUAUGUAGCUUUUCGUCGGAUCCUUCUCCUCACCGUAAAAAUAAACUUUCUCGUACUUGUCCAAAAACCGGAAGUUAAUCUUCUUCAACGCAAUCUCGUUGUUCACGCAACGCUUCGGCAGCGCCAUCUCCUCGAUGAUCUCGCCCAGUCCUCGCGGAAAUUGACCUUCAAUCACCAAUCCCGGGCCACCACCACCGAAUCCACAUUUCUACCUCUUAUCCCACAAAAACAAACAAAAUCAAUCACAAACCCCCCAACACACCCAAGCUUCCUUCUUACGCAUUCCGGCCGUGGAACAGCUGCAGUUCCUGCAGGAAGCUGGCCUUGUCCUUUUCGAGCACUCGACCUCGUCCCGAUCCUGCACCACCCUCCUUCGAAGGCGUUCAGCUGCUGCUGUUUGGCUCACGAAGGUUUUCGCGUCCGAGUCCUGGCUGCUGCCGCGGUCGGCUUUGCUUUGCGUCCUAGACUCACCAGCACCACCGGACCCACCAAAGUGUUUGUUUACAUUUGCGACUUAGGCGUACACGGUUACACAAGAACGUCAAAAUGAAAGAAAUUUUACAGUCGAAUUAAAAGGAAAAACUUUUAAAUCAGUGAGCAAUGAGAUUUUCAAAAACUGUAGCAGUAAAAGUUUUCAUUUUCAAAACAAGAAAAAAACUUUUAAUGUAACAAAUUUUAACAACUUUUUAAUUCGAAAGUAAGUUACUUUUGUCAUUACCGUAAUAUUUUUGUGUGUGAAUGGAUAAAGGCGCAGAAAAUUCAACACAUCGGCGGCAAACUCAAGCAUCAAGGCAUCACAUCUCCAACAUCUACCUUUCACGCAAAAAAAUCGGCUCUUCCCCAAACGGACAACUGAGUCGGUAACGUGGUAGUAAACAAACCAAAAAUAGAUCAGAAGAGGGGGAGGGGAAAUAGAGAGAGCCGAGAGAGCCACAUUUUUGCUUCUCUCAAUUUUUUUGACGUUUUGUGCAGGGUUGGAUCAACAACAGUAGAGAAAAAAAAAAAACGAAACUAUUGGCACUACGCCCCCCGGGGCAUGGCCUUCCUCUAACGUGGGAUUUCUGCUCCAGCGCCUCUGACGAGACAGGAGAAACCGGGACCGACGUUUUACUUCACCAUCCGAUAGAAGCUCAGUGGAUAAGGCGGGAAUCGAACCCGCGUCUCAUAGCAUCAUCGGGAUCGGCAGCCAACAGUAGAGGCUAGCUGGAAAUCAGAAAUAUAAAGUCCAAAACCGAUCGCAAAUCAGUUGUAAAAGCGCUUUUAGUGCAGAUGUCUAAACUUGUUAGCAAUAAUCCACAGCUGGUAAAGCGCUUGUAGUGCUGAACACUGACUUGUUUUAGUGCUGUUUGGUUCUUGGGCGUGGCAUUUUUCGUGGAAUUUUCGAGGAAGCAUGGUUCCAACUGAAUUGGAUUCAAUACAAAUCCAAUAUUAAAAGGAUUUUAGAACGAAGUUCGAAUACCACAUGCAUACCAACAUUUUGGUAUUGAAAUAGUUUUUUUUAUCAAAUUGACAAAGAUUGACAUUAUUUUGUUGAGUUUAUCGAUUAUGACGAACAAGGUACACAAUGUUAAGCAAAAUCCAUUCUAAAUUUUUAAAUUUUUCACGUUAAACCUAUUGUUGUCGUAAAGUUAAUCGUCUAAAUAUAUAAAUGUGUUUCUUA